CCUACGGGGGGCUGCAGCAAGGAAUUUUCGUCAAUGGGGGAAACCCUGAACGAGCAACGCCGCGUGGGCGAAGAAGUCUUUCGGGAUGUAAAGCCCUUUUCCCUGUGAAGAAAGAAAGACGGUAACAGGGGAAUAAGCAUCGGCUAACUACGUGCCAGCAGCCGCGGUAAUACGUAGGAUGCAAGCGUUGUCCGGAAUUAUUGGGCGUAAAGAGCGCGCAGGCGGUAACUCAAGUCAGAUGUGAAAUAUCCGGGCUUAACCCGGAGGGGUCAUUUGAAACUGAGUAACUAGAGUACAGCAGAGGAUAGCGGAAUUCCCGGUGUAGUGGUGAAAUGCGUAGAUAUCGGGAGGAACACCAGUGGCGAAGGCGGCUAUCUGGGCUGAAACUGACGCUGAGGCGCGAAGGCUAGGGGAGCAAACAGGAUUAGAUACCCUGGUAGUC
rnacentral:rRNA from 1 species